AAAGUCGUAACAAGGUUUCCGUAGGUGAACCUGCGGAAGGAUCAUUCAUAAUCAAGUGUUUUUAUGGCACUUUAUAAAAAUCCAUAUCCACCUUGUGUGCAAUGUCAUCUCACUGGAGGUCGCGGCUGUAAAAAUCCGUUGGCUACCUUUGGGAUUUAUAUCUACUCAGAACUUUAGUGAUUUUGUCUGAACCAUAUUAUGAAUACUUAAUUCAAAAUACAACUUUCAACAACGGAUCUCUUGGCUCUC
rnacentral:misc_RNA from 1 species